rnacentral:lncRNA from 1 species
UUACAUCAACAACUUUUCGAUAUGACCUCACCAAGAUUGUCCAAUCCUCCUUUGAUGACUUUGCAUACAAAUAUUUUUUUAGAUAUAUACAAAUCGACUAUGAUGGCGAGAUAGCAGCGUACCUUAUAUUCUAAAUAUAUUUUCUUCUCAAAUUGAAUAGCUGCGUCACCCGUCAACGUUGUGCCUUCUAGGUGUUCCUUAAAUCCAUCAUCAAUGAUAGACCAUAAUCCAAUAUUAUUAAAAAAAUCUUCAUCUGUUGAUACCAAGAUUCAAAAUCAGUUUUGCUCUCAAACACAAAACAGGAAAGUUAGGUUAUAGAGUAUCCAUUAUUUUGGAUCUCCUACCGGCUCUGACUAGAUCUCAAGCAGGCUAUAUACCAAUUUGAAAGAUUAAAUACCUCGAAGAACAAUUUAGGCACAACCAAGAAAUUUAGCAAAUGCUAUAUGGAAGAACUUUAUUAAACUAGGGAGAGAACUUGGUAAGAAGCUUUUUCACAACUCA